UUAAUACUCUCUCCGUUCCAAAUUACUCGUCAGAGAAAUGGGUGUAUCUAGAACUAAAAUACAUCUAGAUACAUCCAUACCUGCGACAAGUAAUUCAGAACGGAGGGAGUAGAAU
rfam:Triticum aestivum genome assembly, contig: Triticum_aestivum_CS42_TGACv1_scaffold_193747_3AL